GAUUCCAGAGCUGAAGAGGUGAGUCUUGAUGGCUGACCCAGAGACCUGAUGUCCCACAAGAAAGAAGAAUGGAGUGAAGAGGGCAAAAGGUGCAGUAAA